rnacentral:rRNA from 1 species
GUCGGGAAUAUUGCGCAAUGGAGGAAACUCUGACGCAGUGACGCCGCGUAUAGGAUGAAGGUUUUCGGAUUGUAAACUAUUGUCGUUAGGGAAGAUAAAAGACAGUACCUAAGGAGGAAGCUCCGGCUAACUACGUGCCAGCAGCCGCGGUAAUACGUAGGGAGCAAGCGUUAUCCGGAUUUAUUGGGUGUAAAGGGUGCGUAGACGGGAAAUUAAGUUAGUUGUGAAAUCCCUCGGCUUAACUGAGGAACUGCAACUAAAACUGGUUUUCUUGAGUGCGGGAGAGGAAAGAGGAAUUCCUAGUGUAGCGGUGAAAUGCGUAGAUAUUAGGAGGAACACCAGUGGCGAAGGCGUCUUUCUGGACCGUAACUGACGUUGAGGCACGAAAGUGUGGGGAGCAAACAGGAUUAGAAACCCCAGUAGUCC